rnacentral:rRNA from 1 species
GACGAACGCUGGCGGCGUGCUUAACACAUGCAAGUCGAACGGAAAGGCCCUGCUUUUGUGUGGUGCUCGAGUGGCGAACGUGUGAGUAACACGUGAGUAUCCUGCCUUUUACUUUGGGAUAACUUCAGGAAACUGGUGCUAAUACCGGAUAGGUGCUCCUGCUGCAUGGUGGGGGUUGGAAAGUUUCGGCGGUUGUGGAUGGACUCGCGGCUUAUCAGCUUGUUGGUGGGGUAGUGGCUUACCAAGGCUUUGACGGGUAGCCGGCCUGAGAGGGUGACCGGCCACAUUGGGACUGAGAUACGGCCCAGACUCCUACGGGAGGCAGCAGUGGGGAAUAUUGCACAAUGGGCGGAAGCCUGAUGCAGAAACGCCGCGUGCGGGAUGACGGCCUUCGGGUUGUAAACCGCUUUAGCCUGUGACGAAGCGUGAGUGACGGUAAUGGGUAAAGAAGCACCGGCUAACUACGUG